rnacentral:rRNA from 1 species
GUGGACGCCAGUCUGCAUGGAGCCGACCUUGAAAUACCACCCUUUAAUGUUUGAUGUUCUAACGUGGACCCGUAAUCCGGGUUGCGGACAGUGUCUGGUGGGUAGUUUGACUGGGGCGGUCUCCUCCUAAAGAGUAACGGAGGAGCACGAAGGUUGGCUAAUCCUGGUCGGACAUCAGGAGGUUAGUGCAAUGGCAUAAGCCAGCUUGACUGCGAGCGUGACGGCGCGAGCAGGUGCGAAAGCAGGUCAUAGUGAUCCGGUGGUUCUGAAUGGAAGGGCCAUCGCUCAACGGAUAAAAGGUACUCCGGGGAUAACAGGCUGAUACCGCCCAAGAGUUCAUAUCGACGGCGGUGUUUGGCACCUCGAUGUCGGCUCAUCACAUCCUGGGGCUGAAGUAGGUCCCAAGGGUAUGGCUGUUCGCCAUUUAAAGUGGUACGCGAGCUGGGUUUAGAACGUCGUGAGACAGUUCGGUCCCUAUCUGCCGUGGGCGCUGGAGAACUGAGGGGGGCUGCUCCUAGUACGAGAGGACCGGAGUGGACGCAUCACUGGUGUUCGGGUUGUCAUGCCAAUGGCACUGCCCGGUAGCUAAAUGCGGAAGAGAUAAGUGCUGAAAGCAUCUAAGCACGAAACUUGCCCCGAGAUGAGUUCUCCCUGAGACUUAGAGUCUCCUGAAGGAACGUUGAAGACGACGACGUUGAUAGGCCGGGUGUGUAAGCGCAGCGAUGCGUUGAGCUAACCGGUACUAAUGAACCGUGAGGCUUAACCUUACAA